rnacentral:rRNA from 1 species
UACGUAGGUCCCGAGCGUUAUCCGGAUUUAUUGGGCGUAAAGCGAGCGCAGGUGGUUUAUUAAGUCUGGUGUAAAAGGCAGUGGCUCAACCAUUGUAUGCAUUGGAAACUGGUAGACUUGAGUGCAGGAGAGGAGAGUGGAAUUCCAUGUGUAGCGGUGAAAUGCGUAGAUAUAUGGAGGAACACCGAUGGCGAAAGCGGCUCUCUGGCCUGUAACUGACACUGAGGCUCGAAAGCGUGGGGAGCAAACAGG